CGCGUCUAGCAGGCUUGCGCGUGUUGCACUUCGAUCCUCCGGUGGCUGCUUCUCCUUGGGAGGUGUCGGCGGAGCUCUGGGUGCAGCUCGUCUUGCGAUGGGACGACGCGUGAGUGGUUAUUAGGAUAUGUUUCCCGUGCAGGCUCCGUGUGUCUGGCAUCGAACUGCUUGGGUCUAUCUGAUAUCAAAGGUGGGUUCGCCUCGGCGUUUUCAUGGCCGGUUGCGACCUCUCGUUUGGUUCCUGUGCUCGAUAUCGAAUUCGGUAGUUGGAUGGAUUGUUGUUCCCCGUCAUGGUUUACUGAUCCCCCGCCUCGUGCGGCGUCGGCGGAUAUUGUGCGGGCAUCGACGUUUCCCUUCCUAGCCGUUGUACCCCGUUUGGAGCUUCGGCUUGUGAGGGCACGCGAGAUGCUACCGACACU
rnacentral:misc_RNA from 1 species